ACAACUUGAAUAUUUCUUCAGCACAGUCUGCAAUGUGCAGGUCUGUGGUCUGCAAGACAAUACUUGGCUCAGUAUUCUAAAAAGCUAGAUGGGGAAUAACUUCCUUUCUCUUCAUUAAAUUAGGGUCCUCUUAGACUAGUGGUUUAUGAAAUAUGGAGGAAAAUGUCUGUAUCUUCACAGCUAUCACAUAAGCUUGGGUUGGGGUUCUCCAAAUGAACUGUUUCUAAAAUGAUACAAUUCUGGUUCUUACUUAGCAAAUCCUCUUCAAAACCACUAUCAAUAUCAAUCAAAGAGCACUCAAAUCAAAAUGAAAGCGAUCUUAGUUUAUGGUUCUGAGAUGUCCAUUGUAAUUCAAGUACUAGACUGUUUGGUAUUUUUUUUCAGACAGGGGAGUGGUGUUUGGAAAGAUGAUCUAGGAAGUGUUUUACUGAGCUUCAGUCUGCACUGAGCAAAAUGGAUUUCUUACAUUAAGCAAAAUGUCUUGCUAAGGGGACACUGAAACUCCAAAAUUUGUCCCUUUUUGGAAAGGCAGCAUCAAGCUGUGGAUUCCAAAAAUGUUGGGGAAAAAAAUAAUGGACAAAGAGGUGGGGGAAGUCUUUAUCAUUCUGAAAACAAAGAAAAUUAGGUAUGGCUAAUAACAUUUGCAGCAAUACCUAGAGAACGAGCUGAGGGUGUGAGUCCAUAAUUCUGUAUGCUGUUUGUACACAGAGUAAGAGAGAGUUCCUGCUCAAAUACACUAGAAUAAGCAGAGAAUAACACAAAAUGAGAUGAUGAAACACUGUGUUAUUAGUCCAGAUUGUAGGGCUAGAAAUCUCUCAACAGAUCGUGUAUCAGACCUGGGAACUUAACCCAAGCCUCAAUUACCUCAAUUACACGGUCAGCUGCCCUGAUUUUAAGAGGAAGAAUUGUAUGGGCAGCCUUCUAGAGCUUCAAGGAUCAGAUUAUAAUUCCAGUUUUAAAUUUCUUAUUCAAACCAAACCCCAAAUCCAAACCUCUUGAGCGUCUCUCAACACUGUUAACGCACCCGUCACUCCAUAUUCCAAACAGCAUGUGUGUUCAACAGACAAUAGUGAUUGUUGUGGUGGGUGGCAAAAUACGCAGUGGGUUGCAGUAGCAGGGAUUAUAUCCUGGAUCUUUUUAAUAUAAUACAUGGCUCAUAUUUCAAAAACUGUUUAUAAUUAGGGUAUAAAAUAUGACUCUGAUUAAUAUUUGCAUCCAGUGUAAUGCCUUCAUUUGUUCCAUAGUUUCAUUUGAAACAAUUGUAUGCAAAAGAUUCUGAUGUUAUGUCAGCUGAAGCUUAACAACUCUUAUUAUUGAUUAUAGACUUGAUGGAAACUUCUCAGCAGUUUACAAUAUUUAGUUAGGAUAUUUGAAGAGACCUAAAGUAUUAUUAUAAAGCAGCAAAGCUAGGUUUGGCAAAGAGCCUUUCUUUUGUCUCUGAAACUUUCUGCAGUAAAUUUAGAACAGAAGAGCAUGUCUCUGGAGUAAAAAUAUAUGUAUUGCUGGCUACAAGUGUAUGUUUGCUGCUUCACAAUUUUAGAAUUAGAUGAUGGACUUAUUUAGUAGACAUUGGAUAGUAAAAAGUAAAACCCUUAAUUUAAAACAUUCCACAUUGCCACAUUCCAAGAAAAACAUGGACCGGUGAACAAAACCAGCAGUAUUGUAAUAAGAAAACAACUAGGUGCAUUUUUUCCAAAACCUAAACCCAGAAAUCUAAAUGUAUGAGUUACUGGCUAAAAAUGCCAUUUUCAUGUCUAGUUUCUUCAUGAGGUGAAAAAACAACCUAGAUGAGAAAAUUAAAAAAUAAGAUCUAAGACUCUAGGUCAAGCUUUAGAGCACAGCUCUAACUUUAUAAUCAUCUUUUCUUAAUCUUCAUGUUUCCCUUUUAAUUUAAAAAUGUGCUUUUUUCUUUGCGAGAGAUUUAUUAUGACAGCAUUAUUUUUAAUGUAAAGGUAAGACACCUUUAUCAUAAUUCUUUUUAAAAAUUACCAAUCACUGUGACCAAAGGAUUUCUGUCAUAUUCUGUGCACUGGCUUCGUUAUCUAAUCUAGGAAAGGGAUCACUUUUGACAUAAGCUACAGAAGAAAACUGCUGACAUUUAAUACGAGCCCCAUUUCAGCAGGCUGCAUAUGCCCCUGAUUGCUUGGCAUCCAUUUCUGAUUACUAUCAAUUUCUGAGCAUUGAUCGUAAGUCAUGACUGUUCAGAGGCUCAUACCUACACUCAGCUUGCUAACAUUCCAGCCCCACUUUCUACAACAUCAGCCUAAUUUGAGUUUUACUGAAUCCUAACUGUAAUAACACUUGGAAGUGAGAAUGGAAGAUUGUGGGAAGUUCAAAGAGAGAGAAAACUUGAGCCAGAUUCUUGAAUCCCUGCUCUUCCCAAGAGUGCUAAAGCUGCUUUACUUUGACUGACUUUCUAACAGGUUUUACAGAAAGAGAGAAUCUGUACCUGUGCAAGAAGGUACAGAUGAGAGGAAGGCAGGAGGGCCAUAACUUCAGAGAUACUUGUUCAAAUUAAAGGAAGGCCCUGAAAAAUGGAAAAAAAAAUACUGUAGGAAGGUAGGGCAUGUACAGGCAAGAUGCUGGAAAUCAGAGGUGCACUUUUCUCCUCCUGGAUAUCGCUGUGCUGCCUGGUGGAGUUUACCCUCUGUUGAACAUUUAAGAAAACACUUGUGAUGGCUGUGUGGAUGACAGACAUAGAUGCCGAUAGAAGAAAGGAGGUAGGAGUCAGGGACGUUGCUGCAUCUACAAGGCUCUGUGUUACUGUUAUGCCUUUGGGAGGAGGACGUUCUCUUCUCCUAAACUUGCGCAGCAAAAUUGUGCUCAAGUGACUUAGGACUUUUGUCCUAUAGAAGUCCAUGCUUCUAAAUAAACAAAUCAUCGUCUGCUUUCUGAAGAGCAACUUCUCUUAUGCCUAAUCCAUGUGGAGGAAAUAAAACAAGAGGAUUGGAAUGCUACUCGCUUGUUGGUACAUCUGUAUGAUGCUAUUUGUACGUGCUGAUCGUGGAUAUUUCACAGUCACUUCCCUGUGUUCCAGAUUUCACAUUUAGUUAUCUUCCAAUAGCACACAAUAUCUCCUGAGGGCAGAAGAUUAUUUUUAAAUAUAAUUAGUUUUGAUGGGGUGAGGGCAAAGGGGACUCUUGGAUCCUGGACUUGCUCAGCUGUUUGAGCUCUUGCUGUUUGUGGAUAGUCCAAUAUUAAUCAGAAGGAUGCUGCAUGUAAAAUAGAAUAAUCUUUGUGGUUACAUCUUUUAUCUCCCUUUUGAAAGCUAGGCAAAAGGCAGCCUCUUAACUGUGCUCAGUGCUUUGGACAACUCCAUGACGGCCCAGAAAAUAACACCAAAACAUGGUGUGUCAAAUGCAUCUCCCUUAGGAGGUUCGGUGUGACCACUCCAUUAUGUGCCCUGACCUUCACUGCCUGAAGGACAACAAGUUUUGUUCUUGAAUCUGUUUCUUUCGACCUCUGCCUCGCCCAUUUUGCUUUGAUAUGCAUUAUAAAUACAGCUGCCAUAAACAGCUGUUUAAAUAACUAGUAUGGAUUAUUUUGUUGUACUUGCUGUGAUGUGCAGAGGGAAUAUAGUGCUUUAAUACAUAAUGAGAAGUACAUUAAUUGAAUUAUAGCCCUUCAAAGUUAAGAAAUACAGUUUGAUGAAUGAUAUCUUCAUGUUUAGAAAACAGGGGAUCAGAUUCCAACUUAGCUGUAAUAUUACAUAUUACUUAUGUAGUAACGGGAUGAAUCACUUAACAGUCACUACUUGACCUGAUAAAAUGGUGGUAUGAGUUAAACUGAUGCUUCUAAACUGCUCUGGAAUCCUCACAGCACAUUGCCAGUAUUGAAAGUAGUCUUGACUGAAAAAUCUUCACCUGGACACCUACAGAAGAGGCACACUGCAGCACUGGCCCGUAAUGCCACAGAGGCAGUACUGUGAGCUUUUCUGUUGCAGCUUGCUUUUUGGGAACAACUAACUUUUGUUCAACAAGGCAGUGGUCCAUAUGAAAAGUAGGUGACAUCUACUGUGAUGGGUAAUGGUGAUUAUGCCUCUUGGAGUCUGAGUUUCUAAACUGGGUGCCUAAUCUUGAGGGUUUUAAACAACUUGGCAUCUAAGUCCAUAUAUACACUAAGAUUAUUUUCACCGUGCAGAACCAAAGACUGGCAGGCAAAAAGGAAGUGUCAAUUCAUACUUAACAGGUUUACUGAAUUAUUUAUUGUCUUUACUCAAAGUUUGCUCUUCUAACCUUUACUCUCUUCUCAUUUUUUCUGUUCUGUUUCCACCUUAAUUUAUAUGUGAUCUGUCUUUCCUUCUCAUUUUCCUUGCAUUGACUUCUACGUAGAAGAUGGAACAGGUAGAAUUUCAGUUUGAAUCCGCAUUUUUAGCAUCUGAUGUUCAGUUGUUUGAAAUUAGGCAAAAUUCCAAAAAGUGGAAGCAUCUUCAAAUCAACAGAUGCACAGGUUAUUGUUAUAAGGACUGCAUCUGCAGCUGCUAUCCUGCUAAGUGAUAUGCUUUUUCCAGGCAGUUGCUAGGAAAACUGAAGCGUACAGCACACUUGCUAAAAGGCUUAAGGUGUUGUGCAGUAUAAAACCAUUUUUAAAUAUGUUACAGACUAGAAGACUAACCUCUAAAGAGAAAAAGAGAUUGCGUCCAUGGGGUCCAAAUAGGGGGGACGCCUAUAUAAGAAAAACUGUACAAAAGUAGGCAUCCGCUGGCUUGGAAACCUGCAAGUCAUGUGUGACCGAAGAUCAUCUAGUCAGUCAGCAGAACCAUUUGGACUGUCGAGAAAAGAAAAGACCCUUGUCAAGUCUGGAAAAUGUGAUCUUUCAUUCCUUUCUCGCUCUUCAUUAAAGAAGGAACAACUUGCAACUGCAAAUGUAAUUAAAACCAUUUCUAAAACAAGAACAAAGACAACGUAAAUGAGGUAGUUAUCUAAGUUCAGAUUGUUUCUAUUGAAGCAUAAAAGAUUUUUGUGACUUACAAAAAGAUGACUUAAAACUCUUCUUACUCAGAAGAUUUUACCACCUUUUAAAACUUUAUCAAAAUACUAUCAUUGCAGACAUCACUGAUGUCAAAAGCCUGCACUGUCACCAGAGUAAUUUGAAUAAAGACAACUGACAUCUAUUACUGAAUGCACACUUCUGUAGCAUAUUUAUAAAAGCUUCUCGACUCUGAAAUCAAACAGCAGCUGCUCAGCAGCUAGGCCCCAGAUCAGCUGGACUGUGGUGACAAUCAGGCCUUGUCUUAUUUUAAUAGACAAGUACAACCAUCACCCACACAAACAGUGCGGCAAGAUAAAUGACCCCGUUCUUGUAAACCACCCACAUCCAACAUAAUCCUUAAAUGUUCUUGAGGUAGAGGAAGAAAAAAGCAUUGGUGCUAUUCCGUGUUUAUGAUCGUAUUUGUAAGUUAAGCCAUCCAGUCUAACAAACUGAAAUGCUUAUUUUUCUAAUGUCUGCCUGCAUGAUCUUCAGUGCUACCUAUUUUUGUCUGAUCUUUUUGUAAAUUUACUUUCCUAAUAAUUUAAUCUCCUACUUGAUAUCUUGAUUUGAUAAACUCUUUGUUCACUCUAGUUGUAUCUUGGUUUUCCUUCAAGUACAUAUAUUUUUGACCGAACAACCUUGCUACAUGUUGUCAUGAAACAGAUCGAACUGUCCCCAAGGGGGACAGCUGUCUGCAUUCUAGGAAUCCUAAGCAGCAGCUUAGACAGGAAUUCUCAUUUCUUUAAGGAAGUUGGUCGUGUCCCCCCCCCCCCCUUUUUUUUAAAAAAAAAAGCACACCCUAUGUAAAUAUAUUUAUGCAAACAAAUAAAGUUACAAUCCCGAAAAGGUCCCAGGUUUUAUGCUACUGUUUCAUAUCUCACCAGGGUGUUAGGCCCACUGCCAAUGCUAAUCCAUUCCACAUCAGAAACCUAAAACCUCUCAGAUGUAUUAGGCAGCCUACCAACGCUCAGCUGCCGUGCUGGAACUUGGCUUAACUCCUGAUAGGCAGCCCCUUGCAUUUCUUCAGUGGGGAAAAGGCUUCUUAAAAAAAGAACUUGUCAUUGGUGACUGCUGAGAAUGUUGGUGACAGUGGUUUCAUUAAAGUAGUUGCUGAAGCUGUAUUGUUGCCAUCUUGCCUGUGGUGGUCACUACUGAAAAACUGAAGGCUUUAAGCCACCGAUUCAGAACAUGAUAUAUUUGCCAGCAUUUACCACAGUUAUUUCCUUUCUGAGUGUGUGGAAACAAGACAGACACAAUUGAUAACAGUUAGCAAAUGUCAUAUGCUGUACUAUUUGCAGGGAAGCUCCUGAUAAUUAAUGAGUAGUCCAGAGGUAUGGAUGUUCUUUGCAUUCUUGUUAGUUUGAAACACUUCAUCAGCUAUUUGUUUUUUUAAUCUCUUUUGAAGCUUUGAUAAUAGUGUUACAACACCACCAACAUACACAGUAAGCAAUGAUUUUUGGUUUUUUUGAAGCUUGUAGACGCAAAAAGGAAAAGUAGCACCUACUGAUUUAUAUAGAAGAAGUAAGCAUUCUAUUUGAAAAUACAAAUGGAUGCUAACAAACGUUAACCAGUCCCUGGGUCUAAUAAUCCUGUUUCGCCUAUUCUUGCUUUAAAUUGGCUGCAACACACAAAAAAGUUUUAUUUAAACAGGAAUAUCAUGGUCCUAAAGUGUGAAAACACUAAAGCAAGCUAUUCAAAGGGCUAGAAGCAAUUUCAGAGAUAUUUUUCCCUAAAACCCCCUUAAUGCCAGAGGUGCCCAUUUCACCCUCUACAUCGUCAGCCAAAUAGCUUGAAAAGCAGUUGCCAUUUUUUAGAUAAUUAAUACUCUAAAUCAAUUCACGUUUGUUUUUAUCUGGGUGUCCAUUAUGCGAUCUGUUGCUGUUACCCAACACAACAGCUGGGUAUAAUUUGCUUGUGGCUUAUUUGGCAGCUUACAGGCAUAGAAUUUAAACUUACAUAUACUUCAAAGGUGUUGGGAAAUGGUUAAUAUGAAAGUAACCCCUUCAGCAGAGAGUGCUGUUUUGCCUGGCUGUGUUGUACGUUUUGCACCUUUUUUGCGCAAUCUGUGAGCCUCUAACUGCUACUAACCUGCAUCAUUCAUAGGGUAGCAAAAUGCCAUCAGAUGAUAUUCACACUAUUUACCCAGCUAACAGUUUAAUGGGAUGGUGUGGGGAUUUUGGGAACACUCUACACAGACAACAUGUAAUAUUGACCAAACACUUGAUGUUCCAGUCCUGCUCUUUUCUGGGGACAGACAGUGCCCAACUACACCACGCAGUGUAAUUGCUUUGAGUUGUAUAAUGUCUUUUACUAAAUGCUAAAAACGUCACUUUUGUGCUUACACAAUGACAGCACUAUUUUACUGUGACACCUGUUUAAUUUUAAAAGAUUUGUAUGUGUUUUGCAGGGUGGACCAGUAAAAUAAGUUUUGUUUACCCCAGACAAUGGCUGGCUGAAAAAUGAAGUGGUCUGGUACUGCUAUUGGUUAUGUGGCAUUGCAUGGGUGUUCUUAAAAAAGGGAUUUGGCUGACACAACUGUAGAGCCUUAACCCAAAAAGUCAGAAGAAUGACUUCCUUUAGGUCAAAAUGAGGAAACACUGUUAGGUGCUGUGCUGCUUAAAGGAAUUCACUGUGUCCAUUUUAAGGUUGAGAUCAGGAGUGGUACAUGGGGAGCUGACUGGUGAACAGUUACCAAAAUCUGCCGAAGUCCUCCUGCAGAUCUGGUCUGAAGACUCUGUGCUAUAAGCAGAAGGUACAACAGAGUGCUCUGACAGCCUGGAAAGCACUACCUGGAAAGGACUGUAACAAGAGUGAUGAAAAGUAAGCACUUUACGUUUGUGGUCCGUAUACCUGGUCCCAUGUGGAUCUGCUGCACGUUUCUGUACACCCUGGAAGUAACCACACACGUGACGUUGUUAACAAACAACUUUUAACACACACGGAAUGUAACGUGCUGCUGGUUGGCACGUUUGUGUCUGACAUGAAGUGCAGCACUGCCAGCCAGAGAGCCUGAUUGCCGUUUGAUGGUCUGAGGGCCAGGGCUCAAAAGACAAAGAGGAAGAAGACUGGCCCACAACUUCUGAUCAGCAAUGACUGAAAAAGAGCUGGCCCAUUCAAGGUAAAAGAGUUAAAAGUUAAUUCAAAAGAAAUACCCUGUAUUUAUGAAUAUUGUUAAAUAAAUAUACCAAAAUAUUAGUAAAGCACACUUGGAAACCAAACUCGUGUAUGAAAUGAAAAAUGUUGGUAUUUAAAAGCUGCUUUGAAAUAUUUUUGUUUUGUAAAAUACAUUUCUUAAAAAAUGAAUGUGGCAUAUAACCACAAACAUACAUAUACACACAUCUGCACACGCAUACUUCCCAAACCCGUAAGAUGUCUGUUUGAAAGAUGUCAGUUCUUUCAGUGACUUAAAGUUUCUUCAAGGCAGAAAACUAUGGAAGAUACAGUAUAGCUGAACAUCUGUCUUGUCAUGUAGGCAGAUAUUAGGAUUAAAUUAACUAGAAAUGAAUAGAAUGAUAUAUGACAGGGUGCAGAUGUCCCAGCCACAGUGUGAUAAUUUCAUUGCAAAACUAUGUAAUGAAUUCCAUACAUUACAGAAACACAAAUAUACCACUUUAGGUAAUUGUGAUGAAAAGGUAUAAUAUGGAAUGGAUAAACAGAUGGUGUACCCAAAGGCAUUUUUCGUUUACUGUUGCUCUUUAGUCAUUUUGAAAUUACUUUAUUUGGUUACUGUACGUCUAUUAUUACAUCUUUCUUUUUAAUUUUUUCUUCUCUUAGCUCUUCUGAAUCUGGAGUGCAUGAGGAGCAUUAAGGACCAUUUUGCAUGUCUGCUCCUGAUAGAUUGGUUAGCUUCUAUUUUCUUUUGUAAACUCCACAUUGCUAUGCUACAUCUAAAGCCAACAUUUCCGUGACUUCAGAACAAAUUGGAUUGAUUCUAGAAGCAUUUUGGCUUUAUAUAGUUUCUAAAUUGGCACAUGCUGCAUCUGUGCUACUUGAAUUAGCAGAACUGUUCAUAUUUUACCACAGAUUAUUGGCAAAUUUUCCUUUAUUAUUUGGAAAUGGGUACUUUGGAUAGUGCGUGCCAUUGCAGCCUAUUCAUUUCUAAUAGGUAUAUUAAAAUGUGAUUACAUUAGGUUAUAUUUUAUGAUAGGAUUACUUGACCAUCCUGAAAAAUAACCCACCUUUUUACAUCUGGCAACAGGUGUUUUAAAGUGCUGUAAAUAGUUGAAUAUACAACAUGGCUUUCCAUCACUGGUCUCAUUUAGAGCCUAUGGUCAGCCCAGGACUUCAUUACUGUCCGAAGCUGAACUGCAGGGAGACCAGUAACUGAGGGGCUGCAUGGAGAGGUACCUGCUCACUGUACCCACCCAUGGCUGUGCUCUUAAACUGCGCCUGUGUCCUUGGAGGCUGGACUAAGACCCAUUUGAAAAUACAGAAUUUUAGUUCUGCUGUUAGCUGCAGAUUAUUUAGCCAAUGUCUCAUCGACCUAGAAAAUAAUAGCAAAACAUUCUCAAAUGCUGUUGAGAUUAUGAAAAAAAAAUCCAAAAUAAACUAUUAUUUCUUUUUCACUGUUAGCAUCUUGAUUCAUAUUCUAGUAUCAUAGCAAUAAUAUCCGCAGCAUUGAUGUUCACUUGCAAUAAACAGCUUCUGAGGUUAUCAACUGUUUCAGCUUCAGUUCAGCGUUUAAUCACCCGCAAAAGAUAUUUAUUGACUUGUAUUCUCCAAUGCCAUGAACGCUACCUCUUAAUUAUUAACCAUGUCUCUAAUUUUAUAUCUAUUUUUAAGAAAAAAUGUUUGCUAAUUGAAACAAAACAUGCGAGUGCUGUUGCUGAUUUUAUUUCUUUCCUAAAGCAAGUCAGUGACUAAAUACAGCAGUAUUUUUAUUACCACCAGUACAAACACACACAAGCACCCCACGUAUUUCAAUCACUUCUGCAGUGGUUGGUUUUAUUGCUAGUUUUAAUCACUUUAAUUCAAUACAGUUUAUAUAGUGGUUUGAUGAAGGUGCUAGUAUCAAGUUCAAGUUCCAGUACAUUAAAAUGUUAACACACUGGUUACUUAAUUUUGACUUAGGAUCUCCUUGUUUCAGUUUCAGUUUUAACGUUAUUAUUUUCUAUUUCUUAAGCUUUCAAAGGAAGUUAAUCUAUUUAGAGGCAUAUGUUUUUAAAUAUGGAGAUAGCACAGUUCAUUUUCUCAUGAUGAAAGCAUAUUUUGGAUAAUCAUUUUUUUCCAAACAGAUGCCCAGUUUAUCUCACUUAAAUCAACUGUUUCUGACUGGACCAAUUCCUGGAUGAGUUAAUUGAGCAUGGCUAAACCCAAAAUGCUGGACUAAUCAAGGAAAUAGGAAGAGGUGAUGACUAUGAAGAUUCUCAGCUUUCAGUAAAGGUGUUUAGUUGUUUACUUAUAUUCUCACAACAGAAGGAAUGUAACAAACUCAGCCCACUGGAAAUAAUUCUGGAUAAUCUCACUCCAUUACUUUCGGUGAAAUUGAGUCUGCUCACUCUACCCUGGUGAACCAGCAUCUCAGGGAAACAGGAAGGUAAUAGCUCAUUCAGGCGGUACAAAAUAAGUGACAGAAGGAAAGGCAGACUGAAAGCUGUGUGUCUUUAGUUUCUAAUUUAUGUUAGUAGUCCGCCAUUAAUGUAUUAGCUUCUCAUUGGCUAUAUUCAGCAUCAAAAAUCAGCGCAUUGGCCAUGCUGUUCAUUAGUACCAGGCAAAUGCCCUGCUGUCUUGCACACAUCACAGCUGUUCAUUCAUGUUCGCUUUUCAGACUGGGAAACGUGAGUUUGGAGAAUACUGAUGUCUUGUUUGACCCCCCCCCCCCCUCCCCCCCAGAAUCCUCUUCUGAGAAAUGCAUACUAAAAGUAAAAGAAAAAUCAGAUUCUUGGAUAUCUUAGCUGUCAAAGAGGGUAACUUUCUAUUCUUAGUGCUUUGAAUAUACUCAUCUAUCACUUUCUGUGAUAUAGUUCAUAGACAGACAGCUCAUGGGACCAUGCAUAGAAAUACAUCAUCAUUGCAGCCUUUGUAUAUAAAAAUAAAAUAAAAUAGUAAGGUGGCCUCUAGAGCUGAUGGUUGGAAAGGACUUUUUAUGGGUCAGGAACUGCAUCAUGAAUAUUUUGGUUAAUUAAUAAUUUUGUACAUGUGUAUAAUUAUACUACUUUUGAGUUCGGCUUUAAUAAGCAUAACAAAGAUGAUGAUAACUGAUGCAGUUAUUUCAGUUACCAGUUGUUUGGUUGUUUCUGAAGUCUUACUUUCCUAGGUUGCACAUUUAAACUUGUCCUUAAUUUGAAGUAACCAAAAAGUGCAUCCUGUUCCAGGUCUUUUGCUAGAUCAUCAGUGACCACAAUUCUGGACAGGUACAUCUGCAAACUAAUAAUCUCGGUUGAAAUUAACUAGUACCAUUACUGAUGUGCCAACAGCAGUGCAGCUGUAAUUAAUUUGUAUGGUAUCAGGGAAGAAUUUGGUUCCUCUUGCUAAUGCAAUAACCAAGCAAAGGCUUUUGCAACUGUUCUGAUGCCUGUGAACAAAAGGGGAUAAUGACAAACUUCUAGCUCAAUUAAUUAAUAGAUACAGACACAUUUAGAACCUUUGAAUGGAUCUUUUUGGUCUCCUCAUGGAGGGUGCUGUAACUGCUAGGUGGCACAUAAUGUUUUCCUAGGGCUCUUCCCUUUGGUUUCGGAUUUGGAGCACAGUCGUAGAGUGAUCUGCCUGAAAAGUUCACAUCGCUCCUGUGCAGUAGCAGGCCAACGGUCAAAAAAUUAGCUCAGGAUAUGACAAUCAAGAAACACUGUCAGGCAUCUGACAGCUACUAAAUGUACAACUUAAUAUAUACACCUGGAAUUAUAAUUCUACCACUGUCUGUCAAAUUUCCAUCUGUCUAAGGGCGAGCACUCCAUCCCUUUGACGUGCUAAUUUUCAGUUUAAAAAAAAAAAAUAUUAAAAUGUUUUUCUUUCAGAAAACAAAAAUUACUUUAAAGCCACCAGUCUACUACUCGUAGGCACUUUUACAGAAAUGAUGCGGUGCAUUUGCAUAGAAGAAAAAUCUCAAAAACUUUCAGAGUUAUUUUGCAGACCUACUAGAGUGAGUGCUUCCACUACGGAAUGGUUCUGCUGAUAGGAAAAUAUGUGUGCAGCUGCACGCCUCCAGCAAGCAGUCCUUGCAGGACUGCUUUGAAUUGCACAAAAACGGUGUUCUUCCUGUCCACUAACCUCUUAAUUUUUAAGUUUCAACAGAUUAUUUUAUGACUUACUGCAUGUAAGUCAUUAGAAAAGCAGAAGCAAAAACCCCGAAACAAAAAUUUCUAGCACCUUCCUCCCACCAUAAACCGAUCCUCUCCCAAUACUUUGUAAAGCAGACAUGCAAGGAAUAGUCCUACAGCUUACACAGUCUGUUUUUUUCAACAAGGCACCUCUACUAGAGAAGGAAUCAGAAAAGAGCUGGCA